UAAGUAAUGUUGCCAAAAAAGGUUUUG
rnacentral:piRNA from 1 species